GUCCCAGACUCCUACGGGAGGCAGCAGUGGGGAAUAUUGCACAAUGGGGGAAACCCUGAUGCAGCGACGCCGCGUGAGUGAAGAAGUAUUUCGGUAUGUAAAGCUCUAUCAGCAGGGAAGAAAAUGACGGUACCUGACUAAGAAGCCCCGGCUAACUACGUGCCAGCAGCCGCGGUAAUACGUAGGGGGCAAGCGUUAUCCGGAUUUACUGGGUGUAAAGGGAGCGUAGACGGCCAGACAAGUCAGAAGUGAAAGCCCAGGGCUCAACCCUGGGACUGCAUUGGAAACUGUCGUGCUGGAGUGUCGGAGGGGCAAGUGGAAUUCCUAGUGUAGCGGUGAAAUGCGUAGAUAUUAGGAGGAACACCAGUGGCGAAGGCGGCUUGCUGGACGACAACUGACGCUGAGGCUCGAAAGCGUGGGGAGCAAACAGGAUUAGAUACCCGAGUAU
rnacentral:rRNA from 1 species